CCAAACGGAUCAGCGCUGUCACCGAGCCAAAACCGAAAGAAGCAAAAGAAGAACAGGAGGAGAGCGACGGCAGAGCAGAGGCAGGUGUGUUGAAAACAGUGGGGAUAUUUACCUGGAAGGCCUGCCAGAGCUGAUCGGCCAGAGUGCUGAUCUCAGAGAGGAUGUGACGAAUGAGAAAGGACUUUGACAUGCUGCUGCUCCCCAGCGCGAUCAGGCACUCCAUCAGCUUCUCUGCAGCCUGGAGCUAAGGGGAGAUCAUUCUGGUGAAAGCAUCUCGAAUGUGGGUGAAAAUCAGUUCUUUAAGCCUGGAGCAAAGAUCCCAUCACUCACCCCGCUGGGCUGAUUCCUGUGCAGCAACAUCUGAGUCAGCUCCUUCAGCGGCUCUUCCACACGUCUCAUGAACUCAACAGAUGGCAGCCUCUGAGAGCAGUACAGGUCCAUUGCUCGGGCAGCGGUCUGACAGGCCUGCAGGACGAGGUCACGAGGUCCCAGUGCACGGGGAUCCUUGCAGGCCACCACGACGGAUUCAAGGAGCUGGCACACUGUGUCCAUCAGCACGCAUCCUGCAUCGCCAUCUGGG